GUCUGCUCGUAAACACCCACCCGCAUUUACUCCAGUUAAUCCGUGAACAUGGCGCUUGCAACAAUGCCGAAAUAUCGGAAACUCGAUAAAAUGAAUAAACAUGGUAAAUAUCCCGUUAUAAGUUCUAAUAAUAAUGAUGAUACAGGUCUCCGAUUGGGAGAAACUGACGAAAUAGUUGCUGAACUCUUUGUUCUAGCUUCAGUGGUAUUUCGAUACUUCGGGGGUAUUUAAUGCGUCAAAGACCGAAGUGAACAGAUUGAAUAGCAGAGUGACCAUUCACAACAUAUGUACGAAAGGUAUAGAAAUAUUUCAAUACUUUUAACAUCAGCUUCGGUGAAGGCCAAUUAAAAGAUGCCAAGGGUAAAUUUCGACAUUAAUUUUGAGCAUAGAAACUAUUCGAUAAUGUCCCUAUAUAUUUGUUUCACACGUAGUCAAAGUCAGUCAGAAAGUAUCGACGAUUUUAUCACUGAUCAAAUGCCAAGUUUGCGAAUUUGGGACCCUACGUGUGUCCAUGGUAAGGUAUAUUUUUAUAGCAAGUCUCUAAUUUAGAUCUGUCGCACAUUUUAUUAAUUUAGAAUAUCUCACGAAAGCUAUAAUAAAGCUGGAAAAAUAAAUGAUUGUAAAGAGUUGAUAAAAGCAAAGGAUGAGGUCAUAAGACCUACAUAUUAUGGUAACCGAAGAAAAUGAUCUAUGAAACCCAUGAAUGCGAUGUAAUUUUACAUUUAAGGCUACAAAAUAUUCCACCAGGUAAGCAAAGACUAAAACUAACUACAUAUUAUGGUAACCGAAGAAAAUUAUCUCCGAGAGAGAUGAAGGAGUAAUGAAUGCCAUGAUAUUUUACAUUUAAGGCAAAGAAUAUUCCACACAUGAUGUCAUGGAACAGGUCUCCGACCAAUGCCGUAACAAUACCGAAUGAAUGGGUACUGCGUCUCCAGACAGACAGCCUGAAGCAUCACAGCUUGGAGGAGUCAACGGAUUGGCUGCUGAGAAUGAGAGAAAGUGAUAGAGUGAACACUCUGGUACAGACUGCCCAAUAUUCCACCAUUAAAGUGGAGAGGGCCACGGUGCAGCAAGAGAGACAGAUUUCCUUGUAAUUAAACAAUUGCGAAUACAACAAAAAUGACGGAGACAGACCAGAAUGCUAUUAAGCUGGAAGAAGGAAUAAUCACUUCGUCGCUCUAAAGAGAAUCAUGAACACAUGAAGCUCAUCAAGAUUCGCAGUACUAGGCUAGCAGCGGCCAAUGAGUAUCAGGCAGAGUGUUACUUGGUGCUGAAGUACUGAGAGUACGAUCUGGCUGGACUUCUGUCCCACACAAAAGUCAGAUUUUCCUUAUGUGAGACUAAAAUGGUACUGAAACAGUUGCUGAACUCUUCUACGAGAGAGAUCAGAGAAGAUUCUCUUAGGCAGAACAUAACUGCUGCAGUAGCAAAUGCUGUGGAAGGAAAAGUGUUGUGUUUCACAU